rnacentral:rRNA from 1 species
AUUGAACGCUGGCGGCAGGCCUAACACAUGCGAGUCGAGCGGAUGAAGGGAGCUUGCUCCUGGAUUCAGCGGCGGACGGGUGAGUAAUGCCUAGGAAUCUGCCUGGUAGUGGGGGAUAACGUCCGGAAACGGGCGCUAAUACCGCAUACGUCCUGAGGGAGAAAGUGGGGGAUCUUCGGACCUCACGCUAUCAGAUGAGCCUAGGUCGGAUUAGCUAGUUGGUGGGGUAAAGGCCUACCAAGGCGACGAUCCGUAACUGGUCUGAGAGGAUGAUCAGUCACACUGGAACUGAGACACGGUCCAGACUCCUACGGGAGGCAGCAGUGGGGAAUAUUGGACAAUGGGCGAAAGCCUGAUCCAGCCAUGCCGCGUGUGUGAAGAAGGUCUUCGGAUUGUAAAGCACUUUAAGCUGGGAGGAAGGGCAGUAAGUUAAUACCUUGCUGUUUUGACGUUACCAACAGAAUAAGCACCGGCUAACUUCGUG